AUUGAACGCUGGCGGCAGGCCUAACACAUGCAAGUCGAACGAGUGGCGGACGGGUGAGUAAUGUCUGGGAAACUGCCUGAUGGAGGGGGAUAACUACUGGAAACGGUAGCUAAUACCGCAUACCAUCAGAUGUGCCCAGAUGGGAUUAGCUUGUUGGUGGGGUAACGGAUCACCAAGGCGACGUUCCCUAGCUGGUCUGGGAGGAUGACCAGCCACACUGGAAAUGAGAAACGGGCCAGCCUCCUACGGGAGGCAGACGGGGGGAAUAUUGCACAAUGGGCGCAAGCCUGCUGCAGCCAUGCCGCGGUGAUGAAGAAGGCCUUCGGGUUGUAAAGUACGUUCAGCGGGGAGGCGUUACCCGCAGAAGAAGCACCGGCUAACUCCGUGCCAGCAGCCGCGGUAAUAC
rnacentral:rRNA from 1 species